AGUUGUCAUUUCUAUAGAUUAUACAUUCUGAUUCUAUAGCAGACUUGUGUAAUGUGAACAGUAAAAAUUGCAUAUGAAACGUAUUUUAUUUAUGCUGAAAAAUGAUACAGAAGUCAUUAACUGUGUGGCAAAUGAUGCAAAGCAGCUCACGCAUUGGUCAAAGGUUUCUAUCUUCUAACACGACUGCCGUUGUAAAAGUGCACAGGAGCGUUUACGCAAGACGUUACCCGACGAUGAUGGUACUUCCAAAUGGUGCUACAAUCAACAUUACUUACCACGAACCGCGAAGGAUUAUCAAACUGCCACUUGAUUUAAGUCUUUUGUCGGAAACCGACAGAAAAUCACGGUUGGAAAAGAGGAAACCAAAACAAGUUCUACGCGUCGAAGAUGAAGUAGAGGACAAUUUCAAUGCAAGAAAGUAUAUAAAACUCAUCAAAAAAUAAAACCAACAGUUGUGUUACUAUUCUGUAGUGCCACAAAAAUGACCCAAGCAGUCUAAUAAAUAAUCGCCUAAAUAUCUACAACAUGGGAUUACUGUGCAAGUAACGCACAUAAUAGUCUUUAAUUGCGAUAAAUAUUUUUGAUAUAUAAAUAAAAGGGUAAAAACUAAACUUUCACACGUUACAUAAAACAAAAUUUUACAAUCAUAUUUGGCUUUGACGCAAAAAAGCCAACUAACAAUAGUAUUUACCGCGAUCGUUCUAAACAUGACUGUAGUCAUUUAAAGCGUUCAAAGUGUUCGAUCAGUUUCUGACAUAGGGUCACACUAAAUUUUGUAGAAAGGGCUUUGCUUAUACGAUCGGUGUUUUCCAGCUUGCGUACUACUUUUGCAUUCAUCGAAAACUGUCCGUUACUGCUACCGAAAGUGGCUUCGUUCGAGCGUUUCACGAUCAGCAUCACUUCGCACGGCUCCAGCUAUCAAGUUGUUGGUAUUACUGAAGUACAGUACGAAUGCAAGCUGCACCAGAUAGUAAUCUACAUUGCGCAAAAAAUAAUCUUCGAGCAUUUCUAGUGAAAUAUUGUGUUUGAUGAAAAACAUGAAUAGUUCAUAGAUAAAAUACUUGAAAUUGGCAGUGUCCAUUGGGACGAUGUUAGAGUCCUUGGUGAAAUAUUCGAAUAUUUUAACUACAUUCAUAGUCGUUUUGGUUACAGACAUUGGCGACGCAGACGAUGAGAGUGAUCCUGACAAGAGUUCUAGAAUUAAAUGAAAAGCUUCCACAAAGUCAUAAUUUAACACCAUCAUGCGUAUGUGGUACUCAUUGCAGCGGUUAGUCAUUUCAAGUAUGUUUUCUUGACUGUACAACCCGUGGAA